UACAGAGGGUGCAAGCGUUAAUCGGAAUAACUGGGCGUAAAGGGCGCGUAGGCGGAUUAAAAAGAGAUAUGUGAAAGCCCUGGGCUUAACCUAGGAAGAGCAUGUUUAACUGUUAAUCUGGAGUAUGAGAGAGGGUGAUAGAAUUUCCGGUGUAGCGGUGAAAUGCGUAGAUAUCGGAAAGAAUGUCGGAGGCGAAGGCGAUUGCCUGGCUCAAUACUGACGCUGAGGCGCGAAAGCGUGGGGAGCAAAC
rnacentral:rRNA from 1 species